UACGGGGGGAGCAAGCGUUGUUCGGAAUCACUGGGCGUAAAGGGAGUCUAGGCGGUUUGGUAAGUGGGAUGUGAAAUCCCCGGGCUCACCCCGGGACCUGCAUCCCAAACUGCUGAGCUUGAGUACAGGAGAGGGUGGGGGAAUUCCAGGUGUAGCGGUGAAAUGCGUAGAUAUCUGGAGGAACACCGGUGGCGAAGGCGCCCACCUGGCCUGCUACUGACGCUGGAGCUCGAAAGCUAGGGGAGCAAACGGG
rnacentral:rRNA from 1 species